rnacentral:rRNA from 1 species
CUCGUAGGCGGCCAACUAAGUCAGACGUGAAAUCCCUAGGCUCAACCUAGGAACUGCGUCUGAUACUGGAUGGCUUGAAUCCGGGAGAGGGAUGCAGAAUUCCAGGUGUAGCGGUGAAAUGCGUAGAUAUCUGGAGGAAUACCGGUGGCGAAGGCGGCAUCCUGGACCGGCAUUGACGCUGAGGAGCGAAACGCCGAGGGGAGACGAAACG